AACGAACGCUGGCGGCAGGCCUAACACAUGCAAGUCGAACGCACCGCAAGGUGAGUGGCGCACGGGUGAGUAACACGUGGGAAUGUAUCCUCUGGUUCGGAAUAACGUCUGGAAACGGACGCUAAUACCGGAUGAGCCCUUAGGGGGAAAGAGUUAUCGCCGAAGGAGCAGCCCGCGUCUGAUUAGGUAGUUGGUGGGGUAAAGGCCUACCAAGCCGACGAUCAGUAGCUGGUCUGAGAGGAUGAUCAGCCACACUGGGACUGAGGCACGGCCCAGACUCCUACGGGAGGCAGCAGUGGGGAAUAUUGGACAAUGGGCGCAAGCCUGAUCCAGCCAUGCCGCGUGAGUGAUGAAGGCCUUCGGGUUGUAAAGCUCUUUCGCACACGACGAUGAUGACGGUAGUGUGAGAAGAAGCCCCGGCUAACUUCGUGCCAGCCGCCGCUGUAAUAC
rnacentral:rRNA from 1 species